AGUUUGAUCCUGGCUCAGGAUGAACGCUGGCGGCGUGCCUAACACAUGCAAGUCGAGCGAGAAAUUAUCAGAAAGAUGCUUCGGUUGAUUUCAGAUAAUGGAAAGCGGCGGACGGGUGAGUAACGCGUAGGCAACCUGCCCUUUGCAGAGGGAUAGCCACGGGAAACUGUGAUUAAAACCUCAUAACACCAUUUUGUCACAUGUCAGAAUGGUCAAAGAUUUAUCGGCAAAGGAUGGGCCUGCGUCUGAUUAGCUAGUAGGUGGGGUAACGGCCUACCUAGGCAACGAUCAGUAGCCGACCUGAGAGGGUGAUCGGCCACAUUGGAACUGAGACACGGUCCAAACUCCUACGGGAGGCAGCAGUGGGGAAUAUUGCACAAUGGGGGAAACCCUGAUGCAGCAACGCCGCGUGAACGAAGAAGGCCAUAUGGUCGUAAAGUUCUGUCCUUGGGGAAGAUAAUGACGGUACCCUUGGAGGAAGCCCCGGCUAACUACGUGCC
rnacentral:rRNA from 1 species